rnacentral:ncRNA from 2 species
UGAGGAAGCCGGUGCGAGUCCGGCGCGGUCCCGCCACUGUCACCGGGCCUGCCCACCGAGGCCGGCCAGGGAGCCAGACACUC